UACGUAGGGGCCUAGCGUUGUCCGGAUUUAUUGGGCGUAAAGCGUGCGUAGGCGGUUCGCUGUGUCCGAUGUGAAAGCCCCGGGCUUAACCUGGGAAUGGCAUUGGAAACUGGCGGGCUUGAGUGCGGCAGAGGGGGGUGGAAUUCCGCGUGUAGCAGUGAAAUGCGUAGAGAUGCGGAGGAACACCGAUGGCGAAGGCAGCCCCCUGGGCCAAUACUGACGCUCAGGCACGAAAGCGUGGGGAGCAAACAGG
rnacentral:rRNA from 1 species